CACGUCCUGGGCUGAAGGCAGCGCUAAACCGCUGAGCCACCAGGGCUGCCCCUCUCUUAAUUUUCAAACAAUUUUAUGAAGCAGGCUUUACCUUCCCCAAUUUCUCAAUGAGGAAACUGAGUCCCAUGUAGGUAAAGUGAUAAUAUCCAAAGCCCCUGAGAUAGUAAGUAGCAAAGCUGAACAGAAAAUAACUCAGAGUUCUAAUCUUUAGACUUCUAGUCAUUGCUUCCCUAAAGUAGCACUCAACACUGUGUAUCUAUGCAGAGCUCUACUUUUACAAAGUAUUUUCACAGGGACUUCAUCAUGUGGUCCUCUCAGCAGCCUAAUGAAAGAGGCAGAGCAGGAAUUGCACAGUAGAGCAAAUGAAAAAGUUGGUAAGCUUUCCUACCUGAAGUCACCCAGCCAGAGACUGUCAGUGCAUCCUGACUUGCAGUUCAGGGACCAUUCCUUCACAACUAACUGAUUUCAUGGCUAGGGUGAGCAGGAGAAAGGACAAGUGCAAAUGGGGGAACAUGCACUUCUAUUUCUUCCUGGAUCUGUACCUGCAGGUAACAGUUCAAACCAUGAGACCUGAAAAGGAGAGGGUCUGAGGUACAAACCAGCCUGUUCUCCCAGCAGCUUCCUUGCUUUUUUAGAGCAUCAGGAAUGGUGGGGCUUCCUCACAUCUUCCCCACAUCCCAAAUCACCCUGGACCCCUUUGCUUAGAUCAAGACCAUGAAAUUGGAUGGUGAAUUUAAAUCACGUCCCCAGCUCCCAGCGCUAACUUGUCUAGCUUGUCAGUGGAACUGCCACAGCCUCCCCUGUUUUGCAUGCCCUCUGCAAAGAAGAGAAGACAGAAAGAUAACCCCAGGGUGAGCAGGAGAACCACUUUGGGAAAUGUAUUCCCGCAGCACCCAGGAAGGAGCGGGCUAAUUGGUUCCAGAGGCGGCGGCAGCAGCGGCCUGGGCAGAUAUUAUCAUUUACUUGAAAAACUUAAAAAAAAAAAAAAGGCAGAGAAGUCAGAGAUGGGCUGUACCAGAAGAAAGACACUGAGAAGAAGGGAGUUCUCUGAGUAGCUGUGUCAGCUGGGAGCUGUUUAUUUAUGGCUGCAAAUGUGUGUGUGCGAGGGAGAGGGAGAAUUGAUCUUUGCCUGGAUUUAAAGAUGGAGCCGAAGGCGCUGGAGGGAAUUUGGGUUUGUGCGUCUGGCGCAGACCCUGCGCGCCAAAGGGGGCCGCUUGGCACCGAGCCCGAGGUCUUUCUUUCUCGCACCCCUCACCUCGAGACCCUGCAGGAAUCCGCGGGCCCAGGAGCGGCCUGGCUGACCCACCUGCCCCGGGCCAGGCUGUCGAGAAAGGCUUCGUGGAGGGGGCCAACUCGUCCCCGUCUUUAAAAUGAGCACAAUAAAAGGGGGCAAAUCCUCCAACGCAAACCUGAUCGCUUGUCACAGAAGCAACUUGCCAUGAAAUCCGCUAAUGCGCCGCGACUCGCCCACCGGGCAUGUAGCCACAGCAAAUUAUUGCUCAUUUGAUACCGAGAAUUCUAUUGACCAUCACUUUCAUUGGAGAGAGAAUUCUAACUACUCCGCUGCUUUAUAGUCAGUCAAAGCUAAGGCUGAGGACGUUGCUCUGCUAAAACUGAAGUAAAUUGAGCCCUCUGCCUCCAGGAAUUGAUGGAGAUGUGUUCAUUACAUUGGGCCACGUGAACAUGCAUAGAAAUCUGCUUUUUACUCUGCCGACCUUGCCCCCAUUCAAGCAAAAGGUCGGCCCCUUUGGAACAGAUCUGCCGACUUGGAGAGCUAGGCAUUCGUUUGCCUCUCCUAGAUCCCUUCUGGCAACUUCUUUCCAGCUCUGACCAGGGUUGGGGCAAUCGAAAUGAUGCAAUGGAAGCCUGCUCCUGUGGCCAAUCUUGUGCUCAAAAAACACCCCAAUUUGGACACCUGCAGAAAUAAUUAAACCUCCCCAUCCCCACCAAAAUAAAAAUAAACCUCCUAAAAUAUCCAGAUGAGUAACUUUAUGAUCUGGAUGUGAUUUCCUAGAUUAAACUGACCCCCCACACACACCAAGACCCCACCUCAUCAGAGAGGGCUAAGUAAGGGAGGAGGGAGCUCUGAGAUCAGCGUCUGUUCUCUUUAACGGUUGGCAAUGGGCGUCCAGAAUAGAAUGACAGGCCAGCGAAUCCUGCACCCACACCAGCAGUGGUGCAGGUGGAAGCUCAAGCCUAGUGAAGGUCUGACCUUUGACCCUCACCCCCCGCAGCUCUGGGGCUCUAAAGGCUGGAGACGGAGGCCAGUCGGGAAAUGAGGUUGGAGAGAAAGACCCGGAGAGGAAUGGAGAAGCCGGGUUUGUAGGUGGCUGAAUUAGCCUUGACACGGGAAGGAACUGGAACUACCAUACAGCAGAGGACACGCGACGCCCCAAACCUCCAUCCGCGGACCUCCUCCCUAAGGCGGCUCCUCAGAACCCGCCUGCUCAGGACCCCUGCGUCCUCUCCUCUUCCCUUUGGACGUGUUCGGGAAAGGUGCCCGACUCAAGGGUGCGUUGGCCCGGCGGGACAGGGGAGAGAGCGACGCGGAGCCCGACACCCGGCCGGCGAAAGCUAAGCUGGUGGGGCUCGACCACUGCUAGCCCGAUACCGGCGCCCAGCCGCGCCUGUCGGAUUUCCAAGUAACAAGCAGUCCACGCCUGCCUGCUUCACCUUAAGCCCUCGACCCCAAGAAGAGGCCAGACGACCUUGGAGAAGCCAUGUCCCUGGGGAUCCCGUAGAAGAGGUGGUUAGGUUGGGUUUCAUUUCCGAAACCUAUAGGAGAUAGGUCCUCUCGGUUCCAGAAUAAAAGGAGAGCCAAUUAAUGGCUCUAACAAACCUGCCCACGGUGUAGGCAACCCCGGAAAGAGUGCCAGCUCCAAAUCGGAAGGCACAUGAGACUCUAAAGGACCUAGCUCAGUAGUUAUUUUCCUAAUGGUGCUAAGUGCCGGUGAAGCUAUUCACACUCUCUCGAAGGCCGUGCUCUGUGAACCCUAGCGCGGUUGGGAGCCACUUUGUUCUAGAACAAGGCAGUGAACGAGUGGGAGGGUGUUCUGGGCACGCUGGUCUCUGACCCAAGAACAGCAACUAAGAGAUGAUGGUAGAUUCUAACUGGACUA